rnacentral:piRNA from 1 species
GAAUAUCAGAGGGCUGGAGAAAUGGC